rnacentral:miRNA from 12 species
UGUUCCAAGCAGCUGUCUGCUU